rnacentral:rRNA from 1 species
GACGAACGCUGGCGGCGUGCUUAACACAUGCAAGUCGAACGGAUAGGCCCUGCUUUUGUGGGGUGCUCGCGUGGCGAACGGGUGAGUAACACGGGAGUAACCUGCCCUUUACUUUGGGAUAACUUCAGGGAACUGGGGCUAAUACCGGAUAUGAUAUCCCGCUGCAUGGUGGGGGGUGGAAAGUUUCGGUGGUUGGGGCUGUACUCGCGGCUUAUCAGCGUGUUGGUGGGGUAGUGGCUUUCCAAGGCUUUGACGGGUAGCCGGCCUGCGAUGGUGACCCGCCACAUUGGGACUGAGAUACGGCCCAGACUGCAACGGGAGGCAUCAGUGGGGAAUAGUGCACAAUGGGCGGAAGGCUGAAGCAGGAACGCCGGGUGCGGGAUGACGGCCUUCGGGGUGUAAACAGCUUUCGCGUGUGACGAAGAGUGAGUGACGGUAAUGGGUAAAGAAGCACCGGCUAACUACGUG